rnacentral:rRNA from 1 species
CAAUAGCGUAUAUUAAAGUUGUUGCAGUUAAAAAGCUCGUAGUUGGAUUUCUGGUGGGAGCGAUCGGUCUGGCGCUUAGCGCGAGUACUUGCAUCGUCUCCGGCCAUCCUUGGGGAGUGUCUGUCUGGCAUUAGGUUGUCGGGCAGAGGAUCCUCAUCGUUUACUGUGAAAAAAUUAGAGUGUUCAAAGCAGGCUUAUGCCGUUGAAUAUAUUAGCAUGGAAUAAUAAGAUGGGACUUUGGUACUAUUUUGUUGGUUUGCGCACCAAAGUAAUGAUUAAUAGGGACAGUUGGGGGUAUUCGUAUUCCGUUGUCAGAGGUGAAAUUCUUGGAUUUACGGAAGACGAACUACUGCGAAAGCAUUUACCAAGGAUGUUUUCAUUAA